CAGACAUGUGAAGGGCAACAAAGAAAACUGGAAUGUGGUUCCAAUGUAAUCCGUAUCCACACUGCCAGUUACGGGCGAACAGAUAAAACCACCUGCUCUGCUGGACGCCCUGCGAAUCAACUCAGCAGGACCGACUGCUCUGCAUCUACAACGCUCCCUAUAGUAAGGGAGAGAUGUGAAGGAAGGACGACAUGCCUUCUGAAGGCCUUAAACAGCAUCUUCUCUGAUCCGUGUGGUGGCAUCUACAAGUACCUCAACAUCUCCUACAGCUGUGUUCCUCCAAACAGUAAGGAACCGGAGCAUCCCAUCACCACAAGCUUGCACUAUAAUUGCAACAUGUUGAUUGUAACACAGAUGAUGAAUGUGGUUUUUAAGAUGUUACCC